UGGCGAUAAAUCAUUCAAGUUUCUGACCUAUCAGCUUUCGACGGUAUGGUAUUGGCUUACCGUGGCAGUGACGGUUAACGGGGGAUUAGGGUUCGAUUCCGGAGAGGGAGCCUGAGAAACGGCUACCACAUCUAAGGAAGGCAGCAGGCGCGCAAAUUACCCAAUUCUAAUAGCAAAAGAGAGGUAGUGACAAGAAAUAACAGUACAAGGCAGUUAAAAUGCUUUGUAAUUGGAAUGAUAGAAAUUUAAAUACUUUUUAAAGUAUCAAUUGGAGGGCAAGUCUGGUGCCAGCAGCCGCGGUAAUUCCAGCUCCAAUAGCGUAUAUUAAAAUUGUUGCAGUUAAA
rnacentral:rRNA from 1 species